rnacentral:rRNA from 1 species
UUCGCCAGGGAACAACGAGCCCCAGCUUGAAACCCAAAGGACUUGGCGGUGCUUUAGACCCCCCUAGAGGAGCCUGUUCUAGAAUCGAUAUUCCCCGUUCAACCUCACCCCCUCUUGUUAAUCCCGCCUAUAUACCGCCGUCGUCAGUUUACCCUGUGAAGGACUAAUAGUAAGCAAAAUUGGCACAGCCCAAAAAGUCAGGUCAAGGUGUAGCGUACGAGGGGGGAAAGAAAUGGGCUACAUUUGCUGACCCAGCAAAUACGGAUGUUGCGCUGAAAAACGCAGCUGAAGGAGGAUUUAGCAGUAAGAGGAGAAUAGAGUGCUCCCCUGAAGACGGCCCUGAAGCGCGCACACACCGCCCGUCACUCUCCCCGAAACCCCGACUAAAAAUAAAUAAUAAUACAACCAAACACUAAGGGGAGGCAAGUCGUAACAUGGUAAGUAUACCGGAAGGUGUACUUGGACAAACCC